GCCUACGGGGGGCAGCAGUGAGGAAUAUUGGUCAAUGGGCUUACGCCUGAACCAGCCAAGUCGCGUGAGGGAAGACUGCCCUAUGGGUUGUAAACCUCUUUUGUCAGGGAGCAACGCCGGCUACGUGUAGCCGGACUGAGAGUACCUGAAGAAAAAGCAUCGGCUAACUCCGUGCCAGCAGCCGCGGUAAUACGGAGGAUGCGAGCGUUAUCCGGAUUUAUUGGGUUUAAAGGGUGCGCAGGCGGAGGUGCAAGUCAGCGGUCAAAUUGCGGGGCUCAACCCCGUACUGCCGUUGAAGCUGCAUC
rnacentral:rRNA from 1 species